GAUGAACGCUGGCGGCGUACCUAAUACAUGCAAGUCGAGCGAACAGACGAGGAGCUUGCUCCUCUGACGUUAGCGGCGGACGGGUGAGUAACACGUGGAUAACCUACCUAUAAGACUGGGAUAACUUCGGGAAACCGGAGCUAAUACCGGAUAACAUGUUGAACCGCAUGGUUCAACAGUGAAAGACGGUCUUGCUGUCACUUAUAGAUGGAUCCGCGCCGCAUUAGCUAGUUGGUAAGGUAACGGCUUACCAAGGCAACGAUGCGUAGCCGACCUGAGAGGGUGAUCGGCCACACUGGAACUGAGACACGGUCCAGACUCCUACGGGAGGCAGCAGUAGGGAAUCUUCCGCAAUGGGCGAAAGCCUGACGGAGCAACGCCGCGUGAGUGAAGAAGGUCUUCGGAUCGUAAAACUCUGUUAUUAGGGAAGAACAAAUGUGUAAGUAACUAUGCACGUCUUGACGGUACCUAAUCAGAAAGCCACGGCUAACUACGUG
rnacentral:rRNA from 1 species